rnacentral:lncRNA from 1 species
AUUAUUAUCACUUUUUAAAUUACUCCUUACCUUCCCCUCAUUCCUUAACCAAAUCCAUCAUCAAUUCUAGAUAAUUUUAAUUCAUGAGAUAAUUUUACUCUAAAAUCCACCCACCUUUCUCCAACCCUUGCCCAAACCACCGGCAUCUCUUACCUCUGAAUAAGGCUUCCUGCAAUUCUCACUCAACAGAGAAGCCGGUUUGAUCUAUUUAAAUCCUUCCAUGCUUAAAACCAGUCUACCAAGUCCCAUUGUUCUUAGGAAAAUGCCCUUCACCAAUGGGCUACAGAUUAAACAAACAUGACCCUGGUCCAUCUCUACAGCCUGUCUCCUGACUUCAUCUUGUUUGCUAAUUUCAGCCACAAUAUUUUUUCUCUCCGUUUCUCAAAGAUACCAUUCCCCCUCCUAAUUUCAAGGCCCUUAAGUGUUCCAGACCCUCUGCUUGCAACCUCAGACAAGGCUAUUUUCAAAGCAGUGAUCAAGGGCUUUUUUCCAAGUAAAGACCAGCCACUUCGCUGGAAAAGCAGAAAGAACGUAAGUGAUUGAGCCAGGCAGGACCGCCUUGUCCACUGGGGUAGUGUAUGCACUGCACAGACACGCUCAGCUAAGGAAACAAGUAGGGACUGCAACUCAUCCCAAGCUCCACUUGUCAAACCACACCCUGGUGCAGAGCCAUCUGCUUCCCAAGCUGUUUUUGUGCAGAGCUGUGCUCUUUGAAAAAGGGUUAUUUUUGCUAAUUUAUAAUGAAGGUGCCACACAGGCUAGUGGCAACCCCAUAGUCAGAACACACAGUAGGUUGAUAGUAAUGGAGCUACAUUUUAACAUGUACAUUUCUUGUCUCCUGUAAAGACAUUGAAGAUAAGAGAAGAGACCCAUUAUGCAAACUGACUAGCUCUCCUGCACUCUUUCUUUCUAUAGUUAGAAAGUGAAGCUGGGUGCAGUGAUUGGCACUUGUAAUCCCAGCUAGUCAGGAGGCUGAGGCAGGAGCAUCACUUGCACCCAGGAGUACGAGUCCAGCCCGGACAAUAUGGUGAGUCUCCAUCUCUAAAAAAAAUGUUUUUUAAAGCGAGAUGUUCUUGCAUCAUUGGUAUUAGUACAGAGCUGAGGCAGGCUUGAGGAAAACUGUCCCUUACUUUGUACACUGAGCAAUUGGACAAAUUUCAAGUCUUGGAGUGAAGCCAUUAGUACUUUUCAUAAUUAAAUUCAUAAUAAAAUACCUUCUGGGAAUUCAAUAUCUUUUUAAAUUAACUAUUCUUAUUAACCUCAUUCAUCUGUCUCAUAAAAAAUGUAAACUAAGCCUAGCCAUAAAGAACUCAUAUCCCAGCAAAUAUAAUUAGCACUAAACAUUUAGCCUCACAGUUAAUAUACUUCUGAGCCAAAAGGGACCUCAAAGAUCACCUAGUACAAACAUUCACCUUAGUGAUGAGAAGCUUGAGGCUCAGAGGUUGAAAGCAAUGUGCCCUGUAUCACUGGGCUCAGGUCAUUGCUAAGAGUAUACCCAGGUCUCCUGUUUGCUAGGCCACACUAGAAAAAGAAAAGAAAAUGAAACCUCACUUCCUUACUAGGUAAGAAUUGUACAUGAAACCCGUGUUUCUGAUUACUUGGUCUUUAUACAAGGGGUACUUUUCCAGGGUACUGGUUGGUGAGUCUGUGUCCAAUCAAAUUAUAAUCAAUUACAAAACAAUAUUGAUUAUAAUUAAUAGUUUUUUUGAUACAACAUAUUUGAGAGUAUCUCUCUCAGACAAAAUACAGAGCCUGGGUUGCCAAAGCCCAGGCAAAGACAAGUUUUAUCUUUCUUCUGUUCUUUAAUAGGAUCAAGGCCUCUGAGACUACCAUAUUUUAAGCAAACCUAAGACCGGCACAUGUAGAUUUGCAGAAUAUAAAAGUGAGUGCUUCCCAGAAAGGGCUGACCAGAAGAUUCCAAGAAUAUUUCCCUUGCAUAUUUAAAUGAGAAUCAAUUUUAAAAAUCCAUUUAUAUCCAUUUUGAAGUCUGUGUCACAGAAGUCAGCAUUUAAUUAUGUGCAUGUGUGAUAUCCCAGUGGGUAUAAUUGGGGAGUUGAUGCUGAAUUGCACAGAACAGGGUAUGCUGCAGUUGGGCAGACCCAGGUUUAAAUCUUGGCUGUACCACCUACUAAUCAUCACCCUGUACAAGUCACUUCACUUCUCUGAACCACAGCAUAUGCAUCCAUAAAUGAGAACACUAAUAGCUACCUUCCAGAGUUGGGGGGAUUAAAUAAUAUGAGAAUACCCUACUAUUUUUAAUAUAUUUUAUUAGCGGAAUGGGAUCAGAAAGACUCAGCAUACUUAGGUGAGCUGAGCCUUUUUGAUCCCAUUCACCCAAUAAAACUGUGAGGUCUUUGUAAGGCCUUUGCCUAUUAUCUUCAUCUUGGUGUCUGCAAUGCCAAAUAUGAGGUCCUAUAUAAAGUAUGUACUCAAUAAAUGUUUAUUGAAUUAACAGAGGACUGUGGGAAUGGGUUACGUCUUUCCUUUAUCUGGCACUAACCAGCAGUAGUGGGUUGAAUAGUCCCUGCUCCACCCCCAAAUACAUCCACAUCCUAACCCCUAGAACCUGUGAAUGUGACCCUUAUUUGGAAAAAGGGUCUUUGUAGAUGUAAUUAAUAUAAGGAUCUCCUGGAUUAUCUGGGUAGGACCCAAAUCCAGUGGGUCCUCAUGAGAGACACAGGCAAAGACACAGACACAGAGGAGAAGGCCAUGCAAAGAUGGAGGCAGAGAUUGGAGUGAUGUACCCACAGGAACACCUGGAGCCACCAGAGUCUGGAAGAGCAAAAGGAGAGAUUCCCCUUUAAGGCCUCCAGAGGCAGCAUGGCCCUGCACAGUUGGUCUGACUUCUGCUCCAUCUUCUGGCCUCCACCACUGUGAGAGAAUACAUUUUUGUUGUUUUAAGCCACCCGGUUUGUGGUCAUUUUUUGCGGCAGCCGUAGUAAAUGAAUACACCAGCACGUAGGAGGCACUCAUGCUUAACACUGGAACUUAAUGCUUAAAUGCUGGAAGUGUCAAGUGAAGGGAUUUGGACUCAUGUUUUGAUAUCGAAUCCUUAAACUCUACUGUACACCCAAAGCAUGUUAUCCAAGCUGGCUCAACUAUGAUCUAGAAAUUUGGGGUAUAGUACAUCAACCUUGGAAAUUCCAUUGUAAAACGAGCCAGAAAUUCUGAUAAGCCACUCAGAUGACACUACUUAUUUUCCUGGAAGAAUACACCAGGUACUUCCACUAGCCUGACCCAGACCAGCCACCCAUGGCAGAGAGUGCUAAUAGAUAGUAACUGCUUCUUGCUGAGCAUCAGAGAUGCCAUGUAAACAUCCUGACAGAGGCACAAAAGAGCAGCUGGAAAUUCAAUCUAGAGCUCAGGGUGGAUCAGAGUCAGCCCACAGCGUGGCUCCCAUCUCCAGCCUGAGUUCCAGGUGCAUGUGUCCAGCUGCUCCUUGACUCUCCCCCCGGAUGUCUCCCACCUGGCAUGUGUAACAAAUGGGGUCGGGGGAUCAGGNNNNNNNNNNNNNNNCCUGAUCCCCCGACCCCAUUUGUUACUUCGCCAGUGUCUUCCAUCUCAGAAACAAGUCACUCUGUUCUUCCAGUUACACUGUUCUCUUGGAUUCCUCUGUUGGUCUCACAUUCCUCAGCCAAUCAUGGUGGUACUGCCUUAAGAAGACAUCUAGAAUAUAGUCACUUGGCACAAUUUCCACUGGCACUGCAGAUCACUGUGACUUCUGGACCUCCCCCCUCCCUUUUUUUUUUUUUUUUUUUUGACAGAGUCUCGCUCUGUCACUCAGGCUGAAGUGCACUGGUGUCAUCUCGGCUCACUGCAACCUCCACCUCCCAGGUUCAAGCGAUUUUCAUGCCUCAGCCUCCCGAGUAGCUGAGAUUAUAGGCAUGUGCCACCACACCUGGCUAAUUUUUGUAUUUUUAGUAGAGAUGAGGUUUACCGUGUUGGCCAGGCUGGUCGUGAACUCCUGUCCUCAGGUUAUCCACCCGCCUUGGCCUCCCAAAGUGCUGGGAUUACAAGUGUGAGCACCCGGGUGCGGCUUACGUGGCUUGCAACUGUAAGCCGCACCCAGCUUGGACUGGUCUAUUUUAAGAGCUUUUUCCUAACUAGUUUUUCUGCUUUUCUCCCAGCCUGAUGACAUUCUAUUCACCAAUAGGCAGCCAGAGAAAGCUUGAAAGCUUUUUAAAACCCAAGUCAAGUCAAAUGGCUUCCUACCUCAUUCAGAAAGGAAUUCAGGCUCCUGAUCCUGGUUCCUAGGUAAACGUGUGGACUGCCCCCAUCCCAAUAUCCUGCCCCAUUCUCCUCUGCUUUCAUCUUUUACUACUCUCCCCUCACUCAUAACUCAAGUCCCCUGGCCUCCUUGCUGCUCCUUUAAAAUGCCAACUGUGGGGCUGGCAAGAUGGCUCAUGCCUGUAAUUCCAGCAGUUUGGACCUCUUUCAUUUAUAAAUUACCCAGUCUCAGGUACGUCUUUAUUAGCAGUGUGAGAACAGACUAAUAUAGUCACCUCUGAGAUUAGGUUAUAAAAGGGUGUCACUUCCAUCUUGCUGUCAUUUUCUUUAUUCAAGUCAUUCUUCUGUGUCAGCCUCCCGAGUAGCUGGGAUUACAGGCAUGCACCACCAUACCCAGCUAAUUUUUGUAUUUUUAGUAGAGACAGGGUUUCACCACAUUGGCCAGGCUGGUCUUGAACUCCUGACCUCAAGUGAUAUGCUUGCCUUGGCCUCCCAAAGUGAUUACAGGUAUGAGCCACCAUACGUGGCCCUAGAGGUGGAGAACACUUUUGCAAAUACUGAGUACUACCAAUGUUUUCAUCAUUCGAUAGAUGAAAAAAAUUCUCAUUGAUCUUUUAAUGUAUAUUUCAUUGAUUAUGAAAUAAAUUGGGUGUAAUUCAUUUGCUUGUCAUUUCCUUUAAGUUUUCUAAAAAUUGCCUGUGUCUUUUCACCAUAUUUCUUCUUUUUCCUUUUAUUCUCAUUCUUUCUCUUUCUUUAUUUUGACUGUUCUUUUAUUUUUCUUCAGCAAACACUUUUUUUAAAAGCAAGUUAUUUAUCUUUGUAAAUGGAAAUAAUGCCUUAAUCUGGCAAAUGUGUGGAGAACAUUUUUCUCCCAGUUUAGAAUUUAUCUUUGGACUUUGUUUAUGGAUUUCUUUAUUUUUUCACAUAUAUAUAUUUUAUUUUUAUAUGGUUAAAUUUUUAACUUUUCUUCCUUAUAACUUCUGAGUUUUGCAUAAUUUCUAAAAAGAUGUUCUUACUCAAAGAUGCUGCCAAUGAGAAUGAUGAUGGUGAUGCCGGAGGGAGGAAGAGAGGAGGAGGAUGAUAAAUACUUGCUUUAUGUAAUAUAUUAUGUGCCAGUUACUGUUCUAUGAACUUUGUGCAUAUUUCACUUAAUCCCUGCUCCCGGGUUCAAGUGAUUCUCCUGCCUCAGCCUCCUGAGUAGCUGGGAUUACAGGUGCCUGCCACCACACUUGGAUGAUUUUUGUAUUUUUAGUAGAGACGUGGUUUCACCCAGUUGGUCAGGCUGGUCUUGAACUCCUGACCUUGUGAUCCACCCAUCUCGGCCUCUCAAAGUGCUGGGGUUACAGGCAUGAGCCACAACACCUGGCCAAUUCCUAUUGUUUAUAAGGCACCCUAUCUUGUUAUAGUAGCCUGAACAGACUAAGGCAUGGACAAUAAAUGAGUUAAUAUUCUUCUUAUGAUAUAGUUAUUAUUUCUGUAGUUGCUGAUCUAUCUAUAUGCCCUUUUAGGCCCCUUUUAGUCUUGAUAUCUUCUGUUGAACAACAUGGAUCUGCAUUUAGGGAAAGGAAACAGAAAGAACUGCAGUAUUGUGCAAGCAAAUGGAACCUGAGAAGGAUAUAAACAGGAAAAUCCAGUUUUCUCAACACUUGGUCAUGGAGUUGAGAUGAAAGUUGGGCCAACACCCUCUCCAUAAUAACCUUUCCCAAACUAAAACACAGAUUAUAUGUAGCAUGUACGUAUUACAUAAACUUCAAAUAGCUAAGAGAUGUUGAGUACUUACUAUAUACCAGCCAGUGUUCUGAAUGUUUUAAUCAACACAAUGAGCUUCACAGCAACCAUAUAAUGCAGAUGCCGCUGCCAAUAUGUUCCAUCUCACUGAUGAGGAAGGUGAGUCCAGGGAAUGUAGGGAUCUUGUCCAAAGUUAUACAACUAGGGAGUAGGGGGACCCAAGUAAGCCACUGUGUCCUGUUCUAGAGCCUGUAGGUCCUGACCGCACAUCCAGCAUGCAAAAAAAUGUAGUGCUAAAGCAAUGGGAUGAGGGACAUUGCCGCUGCCUAGAGACUCCACUGCUGUGUGGCAAGGACACUGUAAAGGUGAGUCUCUGUAGUGUGCAUAAAGGUCUCUUGGAGAGCCUGUUAAAAACGUGGAUUCUCAGGUCCCACCUCUAGAGAGACUGAUUGAGUAAGGCUGGGGUGUGUCCAGGAUCCACCUGGGAUCCCACUAAGUCUCCUGCUUUUGCCCUGGUCAUGCUGGGGCUCAGAAGGCUCUCAGAGGUGCAUCCAUUCUGUGGAACUGUGAAGCUGAGCAAUAAGCACUGAAGAAAUAUCCUAGCUCACUAAGAAAGAUGAAGACAGCACUGCUGCCAAGUAUGCCCAUGGAAGUUUCUGUACCUAAUAAUGGCUCACGUACUAAAAGUCUGUCAUAAGAGAGGUCUUACGAGCCUUGACAAAGUCAUGAGAGACAUCCAGAAUUCAGUGUACCAUCGCCUAGCAGUAUAAGAGUUCUAUGUCCUAGGAAGUAUGUGUAAGACUGCAGAAUUCUUGUCAAGUUCAAAAGUCUUUGGAUCAAAGCAGAAAGAGAUUUGUAUAUAACAGCCACAUACAAAAUCAAUCAAGCAAUAAAAUGGCUGCAGACUUUGGAAUGUAGUCAGAAAAAUUAGGGAAUACAUGGAAUAUGAAUCCAGGAACGUGGGCUAUGGGAACAUCCCUCGCUUGAAGUUAAGGGUCAUUGACGUAAAGUCCAGUGUGGCUUGUUGGGGAUUUGGACAGACCAGCAUCCGGUCCUUAAAUGUUUGCAGAAGGGGGAGUAGACAGAAUAACGGCCUCCCGAGGAUAUCCAUGUCCUAAUCUCCAAAACCUGUAUACAUGCCUUUAUAUUAACUUACAUGGCAAAAGAGACUUUGCAGAUGUGAUUAAGUUAAGGAUGUUGAGAUGGGAAGAUGAUCCUGGGGUACCCAGCAGGCCCAGUGGAAUCACAAGGGUCCUUACAAGAGAAAGACAAAUGAGUAAAAGCCAGAAAAAGGUGACAUGAUGAUGGAAACAGAGGUCAGAGAGAGAGGGAGAUUUGAAGAUACUAUACUGCUGGCUUUGCAGAUAGAAGAAGGGGUCAUCAGUCAAAGAAUGCAGGCAGACUUUAGAAGCUGGGAAGGGCAAGAAAACAGAUUCUCCACCUAGAGCCUCCAGAGGGAACGCAGCCCUGCUGACCCAUUUUAAAUAUCUGGCCUCUGAAACUGUAAGAUAAUAAAUAUGUGUUGUUUAAAGCCACAUAGAUUUGAAGUCAUCUGCUGCAGCAACAUAGGAAACCAAUAUAGAAGGCUUCCCUCAAAUUUACAUGGGAUGAUCUCAUAGUUUCCUUAGUUGGAGCAAAAAGAAUUUCCCUGGUUGUCUUCCACCCCAGACCUGUGCCCAAGGUAACCUCUGGCUCUACAAUAGGUAUAUGAGCACACAACUUUUAUUCAUGCCAAGAGUGAGAUCUGAGACAUAAAAAUCUUCAAAGACAUAAGAAAUAUUAAGAAGAAUAUGUUAAAACUUAGUGGUUUAUAUCGUCAUGAUGUUAAAAAUUUGAACUUUUAGAGUGGCAGCUUAUAAUGCCAGUUUAAAACGUGUCAUUGAGUACUUGAUUUAGAUUUGUGAUUUUAAGUCAAAACUAUACUACAUUAAUUUUCUAUUUUGGAAUAUUUUAAAGAACUUUAAGUCCACUGAUUUACAUAAUAUUCAUAUUCUAUAUAUGUGUGUAUUUAUACACACACACACACACACACACACACACACACACACACACAUAUAUAUAUGGUUUGAGCAAUUCUCCUGCCUCAGCCUCCCAAGUAGCUGGGAUUACAGGUGCCCACCACCAGGCCCAGCUAAUUUUUGUAUUUUUAGUACAGACAGGGUUUCACCAUGUUGGCCAGGCUGGUCUCCAACUCCUAACCUCAGGUGAUCCGCCCGCCUCGGCCUCCCAAAGUGCUGGGAUUACAAGUGUGAGCCACCGCGCCUGGCCUAAAUCAUUUAAGUAUUCAGAAAGGUUUGCUGAGUGAGAUAACUGAAGGACCUAAGACAGAAAUAUAAUCUGUUAAACGUACAAAUGUGAUACAAAAUAUUUCAAGCCUUUUAAUUAAGUCACAAAUAAGACAAACAUUAGUCGAAAGGUUUUUUUUAAAGUAAUUGAAGAAAACUAGGCUAGUAAAUAAAUGAUAGAAUUUGUAAGUUUGAAUCAAAAGUUUAAGGAACAACUAGGUUUCUGAACUGUAAAUGUAAUAAACUGAAUAUCAAUUCUUUUUUACACCUAAUACCAUCCUUGACCACGCUGUGACAUCUCAUAUCAGUGGCCUAUAAGGCAUUUGAUCCUAAGUCCAAACCAAGUGGCAGGAUGCAAGUCACAUAUGACGAUGUACAUUUCUGUGCAAAGUCACUUUUUCUUUCCCAUUGUAAUUGGAUGCCCUUCUUAUUAGCACUUUGAAUAUUUGUUCCUUUUGUUCCUACUGGAAAUCACUGGGGUGAAUAAUGUUGUAAAACCAGUUGAUUGCCUACCUGGCAGACCAACAUGCCCCUAGAGCUACAGCAAAAAUUGCCUUCAAAACUUUUUUGGAAAAAUCAGUAUUUGAUAUUUAAAAGAAAAAGUAAUAUUCAUGGAAAAAGACUAACUUCCUGGUCUGGAGUUCUUGUUUAAAAGAUGGGGCCUCGUUAUGUCAUCCAGGCUGGAGUGCAGUGGCACAAUCAUGGCUCACUAUAGCCACUAAAUCCUGAGCUCAAGCAAUCCUCCCAGUUUAGCCUCCCAAGUAGCUAGGGCUACAGGCACGUGCCACCACACCUGGCUAAUUUUUUAACUUAUUUGUAGAGACAGGGUCUUUCUAUCUUGCCCAGGCUGGUCUCAAACUCCUGGCCACAAGCAAUCCUUCUACCUGGGAUUAUAAGCCUGAGCCACUGCAUUUUGAGAUGCAUCUUGGAGUUAUUUGUCAUUUUGAGGUACAUAUUCGAGGGGAGCAGUAUCAUCUUUUUAGGGCUUAGGACUUCUAAGGAUCAUAAGGCGCUUUGCAAAAUCACCUCUAAGAUGAGCAGAGCACUUGCUUGGGCAGCACAUAUACUAAAACUGGAGUUGUACAGGGAAGAUUAGUGUGGCCCCUGUGCAAGGAUGACACACGAAUUCGUGAAGUGUUCCAUAUUAAAAAAUUAAAAUAAAAUAAAAUAAGCAGAUUAUCAGUGCAAUGGUGCAGGCAUAAUAGAGCAAGACCUCUCCCGCCAUCUGUUGGUGAUAGGUGGUUUCCCACGCUCAGCGAGGUUAGUGGCAGGCUUUGAUGGGGACCCACAGCUUUGCUCAUAGCUAUGAAGUUUGCAAAGAAGAAAUGUCUGACCACCCUAUGUAAAACAGCAACAUGCUCACCCCAUGACAUCUGGCAUUCCCAAUUCCUUUUCCCUAUUUUCUCUCUCUCUCUGAUGCUUCUCACCUUCUGACACACUAGGUUUCGCUUGCUAUUUUUCACUUCUGUACCAAUCAGAGCAUAAAGAAAAAUCAGUGUGCCUAGGCAAAGGGAACCAUGGCAUCUUUGCACACUCUGGAGUAUGAAAGUUCUUGGUGCUCAGGGAAUGCCAUCCCAGGCCAUGAUGGUAGAUGAGCGGCCAUCAUGGACAAUAUGGUCAGAUUUAUUACUGGAAAAUAAUUGCAGGGUGGUUUAGUUGUUGAUUUGCUUGUUUUCUCUCUCUUCUGUCACUGCCAAAAUGUAAGCUCCAAAGGGAAAGAGAUUUCUGUAACUUUUGUUC